rnacentral:rRNA from 1 species
GAUGAACGCUGGCGGCGUGCUUAACACAUGCAAGUCGAACGAAACACCUUAUUUGAUUUUCUUCGGAACUGAAGAUUUGGUGAUUGAGUGGCGGACGGGUGAGUACCUCGGGGGUAACCUGCCCUGUACAGGGGGAUAACAGUCAGAAAUGACUGCUAAUACCGCAUAAGACCACAGCCCCGCAUGGUUCAGGGGUAAAAACUCCGGUGGUACAGGAUGGACCCGCGUCUGAUUAGCUGGUUGGUGAGGUAACGGCUCACCAAGGCGCCGAUCAGUAGCCGGGUUGGGAGAGUGAACGGCGACACUGGGAGUGGGCCACAGCCCGAACUCCUACGCGAGGCAGCAGUGGGGAAUAUUGCAAAACGGGGGAAACCCUGAUGCAGCGACGCCGCGUGAGUGAAGAAGUAUUUCGGUAUGUAACGCUCUAUAAGAAGGGAAGAAAAUGACGGUACCGGACGAAGAAGCCCCGGCUAACUACGUG